GAUGAAGAACGUAGCGAAAUGCGAUACGUAAUGUGAAUUGCAGAAUUCAGUGAAUCAUCGAAUCUUUGAACGCAUAUUGCGCUCUCUGGUAUUCCGGAGAGCAUGCUUGUUUGAGUAUCAGUAAACACCUCAACUUCCAUAUCUUUUUUGAAAUGGGAGUUGGACUUGAGUGAUCCCAACGCUUUUCCACACCGAAAAGUGGCGGGUUACUUGAAAUGCAGGUGCAGCUGGACUUUUCUCUGAGCUAUAAGCAUAUCUAUUUAGUCUGCCUAAAAACAGAUUAUUACCUUUGCUGCAGCUAACAUAAAGGAGAUUAGUUCUUGUGCUGACUGAUGCAGGAUUCACAAAGACAGGCUUCGGCCGACUUUGUAAACUCGAUCUCAAAUCAAGUAAGACUACCCGCUGAACUUAAGCAUAUCAAUAAGCGGAGGA
rnacentral:misc_RNA from 1 species